CCUACGUGUGGCAGCAGUGGGGGAUAUUGCACAAUGGGGGGAACCCUGAUGCAGUGACGCCGCGUGGGUGAAGGAGCGUUUCGGCACGUAAAGCCCUAUCAGCAGGGAAGAAGAUGACGGUACCUGACCAAGAAGCCCCGGCUAACUACGUGCCAGCAGCCGCGGUAAUACGUAGGGGGCAAGCGUUAUCCGGAUUUACUGGGUGUAAAGGGGGCGUAGACGGCAAUGCAAGCCAGGAGUGAAAUCCCGGGGCAAAACCCCGGGACUGCUCUUGGAACUGCAUGGCUAGAGUACAGGAGGGGUAGGUGGAAUUCCUAGUGUAGCGGUGAAAUGCGUAGAUAUUAGGAGGAACACCAGUGGCGAAGGCGGCCUGCUGGACUGUGACUGACGUUGAGGCUCGAAGGCGUGGGGAGCAAACAGGAUUAGAUACCCCGGUAGUC
rnacentral:rRNA from 1 species